CCUACGGGAGGCAGCAGUGGGGGAUAUUGCACAAUGGGGGGAACCCUGAUGCAGCGACGCCGCGUGGGUGAAGGAGUAUUUCGGUAUGUAAAGCCCUAUCGGCAGGGAAGAAUUUAGACGGUACCUGACUAAGAAGCCCCGGCUAACUACGUGCCAGCAGCCGCGGUAAUACGUAGGGGGCAAGCGUUAUCCGGAUUCACUGGGUGUAAAGGGAGCGUAGACGGCCAGGCAAGCCUGGAGUGAAAGCCCGGGGCCCAACCCCGGGACUGCUCUGGGAACUGUCCGGCUGGAGUGUGGGAGGGGCAGGCGGAAUUCCUGGUGUAGCGGUGAAAUGCGUAGAUAUCAGGAGGAACACCGGCGGCGAAGGCGGCCUGCUGGACCGCGACUGACGUUGAGGCUCGAAAGCGUGGGGAGCGAACAGGAUUAGAUACCCCAGUAGUC
rnacentral:rRNA from 1 species